UACCACACAGUCACUUGUCUGCAUUUUGAUC
rnacentral:piRNA from 1 species